CGGCCGGGCCGGGCGGAGCAGCAGCUGCAGCCCCGGUGUCCCUGGAGCGGUGGGAGCUGCCGGUGGCCGCAGGCCCUGUGCCCUGAGGAGCUGCUGGAGGACGCUGCCCUGAAGACCUUGAGAAGAGCGGAAGAGUGACGAGAACCAGCAGGGAGAAGCUGAAGGCCACAGCAAGAGCAGCGAAUACGGACCUGCUGCUGCCGCCCGAGACCCUGGGUGUCCCAUCUGCUGUCCCCGUCCAGGAGAGCUGCUCUGCACGGGAGGAAGAGACCGAGGGAGAGGCUUUGAUGAUGGGGCGGCUGGAAUCCCUCUUCUUGUAUCUCUGUUUAAAGAUGUAUGGACUUGCUCAUAAGAUAGUGACCAUUACAUGGAUAUUUAUAUGUAGGUUGCUAUUUGUAUAGGCAUAUUUGUAUAUGUAUGUUGUUAUAUU